AUGGCUCAGGAUGAACGCUGGCGGCGCGCCUAACACAUGCAAGUCGAACGAAGCCUUUGGAGUGCUUAGCACUCCGGCUGGCUUAGUGGCGGACGGGUGAGUAACACGUGAGCAACCUGCCGAGAAGUGGGGAAUAACGUCUGGAAACGGACGGUAAUACCGCAUAUAAUACCGAGAAGGCAUCUUCAUGGUAUGAAAGGAGUAAUCCGCUUCUUGAUGGGCUCGCGUCCGAUUAGCUAGAUGGUGAGGUAAUGGCUCACCAUGGCGACGAUCGGUAGCCGGACUGAGAGGUUGAACGGCCACAUUGGGACUGAGACACGGCCCAGACUCCUACGGGAGGCAGCAGUGGGGGAUAUUGCACAAUGGGGGAAACCCUGAUGCAGCGACGCCCGCGUGAGUGAAGACGGUCUUACGGAUUGUAAAGCUCUGUUGCAGAGGACGAUAAUGACGGUACUCUGUGAGGAAGCCACGGCUAACUACGUGCCAGCCGCAGC
rnacentral:rRNA from 1 species